rnacentral:rRNA from 1 species
GACGAAAGCUGGCGGCGUGCUUAACACAUGCAAGUCGAACGGAAAGGCCCUGCUUUUGUGGGGUGCUCGAGUGGCGAACGGGUGAGUAACACGUGAGUAACCUGCCCUUGACUUUGGGAUAACUUCAGGAAACUGGGGCUAAUACCGGAUAGGAGCUCCUGCUGCAUGGUGGGGGUUGGAAAGUUUCGGCGGUUGGGGAUGGACUCGCGGCUUAUCAGCUUGUUGGUGGGGUAGUGGCUUACCAAGGCUUUGACGGGUAGCCGGCCUGAGAGGGUGACCGGCCACAUUGGGACUGAGAUACGGCCCAGACUCCUACGGGAGGCAGCAGUGGGGAAUAUUGCACAAUGGGCGGAAGCCUGAUGCAGCAACGCCGCGUGCAGGAUGACGGCCUUCGGGUUGUAAACCGCUUUCGCCUGUGACGAAGCGUGAGUGACGGUAAUGGGUAAAGAAGCACCGGCUAACUACGUG